CAGCCGCCGCGGUAAAACGUAGGUGGCGAGCGUUGUCCAGAAUUAUUGGGCGUAAAGCGAGCGCAGGCGGUUUGAUAAGUCUGAAGUUAAAGGCUGUGGCUCAACCAUAGUUCGCUUUGGAAACUGUCAAACUUGAGUGCAGAGGGGGAGAGUGGAAUUCCAUGUGUAGCGGUGAAAUGCGUAGAUAUAUGGAGGAACACCGGUGGCGAAAGCGGCUCUCUGGUCUGUAACUGACGCUGAGGCUCGAAAGCGUGGGGAGCGAACAGGAUUAGAGACCCGCGUAGUCCCUGUCUCUUAUACC
rnacentral:rRNA from 1 species